CAAACCUAUCACUUAAAAGCCUCUCUAUAAAAUCUAUAUCUAUCAAGUGUUCCAACACCCAAUAAGGCCAUGGAAGAGGAAGAGGAAAUAUACCAGCAAUUUAGAAGGGAGAAUGCAGAAUAUCAGAACAGGGUAGAAACUGAGUUGACAGAAACUGUUAUUAGGGACUACUUUUCUAAAAACCUCAAAUAUCUACAGGAUAUCUGGUCUGGAAAAGCGCCAUCAGCCCGCCAUGAUGCAUAUAUAGCAGGAGUCAGACUCCCUCUGUUGUAUCAAACCA